rnacentral:tRNA from 1 species
AGUCUUAUAUUCAAUCAGUGAUAAUAGAAUGCAAUUCUAUAGAGGUAGAGGAAAAAUCUACUAAGACUU